rnacentral:other from 1 species
GAUAGCUAAAGAAUAAAAAUGAACCCUACAACUAUAAUAAAAGAGGAAAGUCUCUGGAAGUGGUGUGCAAGCCGGCCUCUUGAGCUGGAAGCCUAAAGCUUUUAUCGCUUUCACUCACCUAACUCCUCGGGUUCAUUUUGACUUUAGAGCUAUC